rnacentral:lncRNA from 1 species
GCAGCGAGCUCAGCAGCACGACCGCCACCAGGGCCAGCGCGACGUACCACGACGCGGCGUCCAAUACGGACACGACGGCGGCCAGGGGUCUCCUUGCCGGUGAUGCCAUCCUCUCCUUUUCCUUGUUCUUGCGGUGGGGAUGAGUUAGGACCGUAGGGAAGGUAUUUAUAGGGAGUAGAAGGUUUUAGAGAGAGGGGAGAUAUAUGGGGCGGGAGGGGUUCGCGCGGGGGCCACACCAAGAUGGGUCCCACACAGGAGUCGUGGCCGGAGAAGGGGUGAUUUGGUGAAGUCUAUUCUCCUAACUAGUGCUUGCUUUCGUGGGGUCAAACCAAUGGGUGAUGGAUAUGGAGGCAAGCGGGAUGGAUAUGGAAACCAUUAUUCUGGAAAGGCAUCUUGGAUGGUGGAUCAAAGAAUCUUUGCCUCUAUAGAGUUCGUGAUAAUAUAUGUGGGUGAUGGGAGGAUCCUGUUACUGCAUGCCCCACACCUUCUUCUCUCCUCCUCCUCCUGCAAAAGGGAGUUUGUUUGUGGAUCAAAGAAUUAGGGUUUUAUCUGCUUUGCAGAUAUCAUAUAUAUUCUAAUGUUUAAAGCACAGUCGUUUAUUUUCUAUUAUUAUUAAAUAUAAAUAAAAUUAACUAAAUAUUGUUUUCUCUAUAAGAGAUAAGGUAAGUUUAUUGGAAGACGAUCGGUGACUUAUUAAGUUUUAAAAAUUAAUAAUGAUAAAUCAUUAUUCUAAUUUUAGAAUAUGUGUGGUUCUUAUUUUUUAUUUCUGUAUCACAUCAAUUUAUUUUCAUGUGAAAAGUAGAAGCAUGUGAUUCAAUUUUAGAAUUUGAAGGAAUAUUAAUCAUUUUCAUAUGCUGACAUAAAUGAUUGUUGAUCGUUCAUCUUCUUCGAUCGGAAUGAAUCGGCAACCCGUGAACCAAAAACAACAAAGUGGAGAGAAGCAGCAGCAGAGAAAACAGCUAAAAUCUACCACCAAAUAGUCACGCUUCACAGGAGAUGAUUGGAAGACAGAUUGCUACCUAGAGUGGACAUCACUUUCAAUCACCAAGGCUUCAGCCUUCAGCCUUGGCGAGGCAGGCCGACUUACCCUCACACGCAACUGUUCCACUUUAGUGCAUGUUACUGGUGCUGCUAAUUCACUUUCCAUGGUUCUUCCGACGUGGUAACUUGUCACCUCCAUUAAGAGGAGAACUUCUCUCUAUAAGGUAGUGAGAGAGAGAGAGAGAGAGAGAGAGAGAGAUCAUAAGAUAUCACAUCAUUGGUAAAAAAACAUAGAGAUGCAGUUAACUACAUCAGUUUGAUAGGGGAUCUAAUAUGUAUAGGAGAAUUAGAAUCUUUGGUAGGGGUAACACCAUAUAUGAUAAACUCUACAAGGUAGCAUCUUGAAUUGAAGCAGAUCGGACAGUGCUGGUAACUGGAACAGGUGGAAGCUGGACAGCCACCGAUGGAGGAGGGCAAGAACAAUCGAUGCUUGACUUGCAAAGUAAAAGGAUGUCGACAUCCAUCGUCGCCAUGAUCAAGGGGUGCAUGCAUGAGUGCGCCCGACGCCGACGGCGUCGAACGCCACCCGCUCGUUCUGGCCAUCGGAUGCGAAGUGGGGGGAGGAAUGGUGGAAUGGGCGAAGUUGUGCUGUACAGCUGAUGUGAAGUUGAGAGAUUUGCGCACCAACAUAUACAAAAGACUUUCGGUGCGUAAUGGAGUCAUCAUCACCGCACCACACCGUCGUGGCCCCAUCCAUUUGUUCCGCCUUUCGACCUCUGGCUUUUCAUCGAUCAUCACGUGUGGCCUUUCCUGUUCAUCUUUCCUUAUUUAUAAUAUGAGAUUAUUAAUCCGUCAUUUGGAACGAGGAUAAGCCCUUUUAAGUUAUAAACAACUAAGGCUUCAUUAAAGUCAUACGUAUUAUAAUUAUUCAUUUGUUCAACCAAAAAAAUUAAGACCCAAAGGAUCGUCUCAUAUCGUCCUU